ACACGUACUGUGCGAACGUUAUUCGGAAUCACUGGGCUUAAAGGGUACGUAGGCGGCCUAUCAAGUCAGGUGUGAAAUCCCACGGCUCAACCGUGGAACUGCGCUUGAAACUGAUAGGCUUGAGGAAGACAGGGGUGUGUGGAACUUCUCGUGGAGCGGUGAAAUGUGUUGAUAUGAGAAGGAACACCGGUGGCGAAGGCGACACACUGGGUCUUUUCUGACGCUGAGGUACGAAAGCCAGGGGAGCGAACGGGAUUAGAUACCCUAGUAGUCCC
rnacentral:rRNA from 1 species